CAGCCGCCGCGGUAAUACGUAGGGUGCGAGCGUUAAUCGGAAUUACUGGGCGUAGAGGGCGCGUAGGCGGUAAUAUAAGUUAGAUGUGAAAUCCCUGGGCUUAACCUAGGAACUGCAUCUAAGACUGUAUUGCUAGAGUGCAGUAGAGGGUAGUGGAAUUUCCGGUGUAGCGGUGAAAUGCGUAGAUAUCGGAAGGAACACCAGUGGCGAAGGCGGCUACCUGGACUGGCACUGACGCUGAGGCGCGAGAGCGUGGGGAGCAAACAGGAUUAGAUACCCCGGUAGUCCCUGUCUCUUAUAC
rnacentral:rRNA from 1 species